rfam:Octopus bimaculoides Scaffold15848_contig_54, whole genome shotgun sequence.
AUAUACGGCCAUAUCACAUUGAAAACACCGGUUCUCAUCCGCUCACCGAAGUUAAGUAACAUUGAGCCUAGUUAGUACUUAGUUGGGUGACCACUUGGGAAACCUAGGUACUGUAAGCA